rnacentral:rRNA from 1 species
CCUACGGGAGGCAGCAGUGAGGAAUAUUGGUCAAUGGACGAGAGUCUGAACCAGCCAAGUAGCGUGAAGGAUGACUGCCCUAUGGGUUGUAAACUUCUUUUAUAUGGGAAUAAAAUGUUCCACGUGUGGGGUUUUGUAUGUACCAUAUGAAAAAGGAUCGGCUAACUCCGUGCCAGCAGCCGCGGUAAUACGGAGGAUCCGAGCGUUAUCCGGAUUUAUUGGGGUUAAAGGGAGCGUAGGUGGAUUGUUAAGUCAGUGGUGAAAGUUUGGGGCUCAACCGUAAAAGUGCAGUUGAAACUGGCAGUCUUGAGUGCAGUAGAGGUAGGCGGAAUGCGUGGUGUAGCGGUGAAAUGCAUAGAUAUCACGAAGAACUCCGAUUGCGAAGGCAGCUCACUGGACUGCAACUGACACUGAGGCACGAAAGUGUGGGUAUCAAACAGGAUUAGAUACCCUUGUAGUC